UUGCUUUGGCAGCAGAUAUACUGAAAUUGGAAUGAUAAAGAGAAGAUUAGUACGGCCCCUGUACUGGAAUGACACAUAAUUUUUUGAAGCAUUCCAUAUUUUU
ensembl:snRNA U6 U6 spliceosomal RNA